rnacentral:rRNA from 1 species
GAUGAACGCUGGCGGCGUGCUUAACACAUGCAAGUCGAACGAUGAAGCCCAGCUUGCUGGGUGGAUUAGUGGCGAACGGGUGAGUAACACGUGAGUAACCUGCCCUUGACUCUGGGAUAAGCCUGGGAAACUGGGUCUAAUACUGGAUAUGACUUCUCAUCGCAUGGUGGGGGGUGGAAAGAUUUAUUGGUCUUGGAUGGACUCGCGGCCUAUCAGCUUGUUGGUGAGGUAAUGGCUCACCAAGGCGACGACGGGUAGCCGGCCUGAGGGGGUGGCCGGCCACACUGGGACUGAGACACGGCCCAGACUCCUACGGGAGGCAGCAGUGGGGAAUAUUGCACAAUGGGCGCAAGCCUGAUGCAGCGACGCCGCGUGAGGGAUGACGGCCUUCGGGUUGUAAACCUCUUUCAGUAGGGAAGAAGCGAGAGUGACGGUACCUGCAGAAGAAGCGCCGGCUAACUACGUG